GUGUCAGUGAUGGGGGAAUGCCCCAAAGCCCACUGCCUUUACUGGUAAGGCAGGGGUAAAGCAGGCAGAGAGACAGACACAGGCACAUGAAACUGACUCCCAGGGUGGGAGUGGGGGAAAAGGAGUCAGGAGGAUGUUCUAAGAGACACCAGUCUCUCUUCUGGUCUCCCAGAUGACCUGCACCUGACCUGCAUCUCUCUUGCCACCCAGCUAUCUAAUCAGCCCCAGGAAAACCAUCUUUUAGCCUCUGAUGAGACUUAAGUUUUUCCUUCUAUCUCUCCUCUCUUUUCUUUCCUCCUCUCUCCCCUCCUUUCCUUUUGUCUUUCUGCCCACUUUCUGUCUUUCUGCCUCCCCCAUCUCUUCUUCUUCCUCUCCUGUUCUGUCCCUCUCCAAAUUUCCAGGGACAAUUUAAAAAGAAGUCCUGUCAGUGGUGUGUUGAGAAAAGCCACCAAAAGUAACACUGUGCAGGUUCGUUACCUCUAGUUUCUGUCCCACACACCCUUGUUAUCACCCUUAGAUACUGGCAACUUCAACUGCCAGGGCUACCCAGGACCCAGGCUCUUCUCUCCUUGGAUUCAGGUGACAUGGCUUGGAUUUGUUUCCUGUUCCUGGUUUUACUGUGAAGAUGGUCUGUGGAGAGUGGUCUCGCCUCCUGACACUGGGUGACUUAUCAAUUCUGUUUUAUUUUCAAGUGGGCAAGUCUAUGUAUGCCAGGAGCCCGUGCUUCCCCCACGGUCGGCGAUAAAUCGUGACUGAGUGCUAACAGCAUACACAUUGCCUCCCAUUAAUGCUUCCUGUGUCGGGAUGCCGGGCUAGAGCCAGUUGGGCUGCACGAGGAGCUUUCCCGCUGGAGGAGUGAGGCCUCUGGGCUGCCUUCCAGUCCUAACUGGAAGCUAAUGCUUUCACACAUUCACAAAACCCAUGCUAGGGGUGCAGGCGCAGCUGGGGUUGGCCUGGGUCAGAGAUCACAAUGGGUCCUCAAGGCCCUGGGUGAUGACUCCCACCCAGGUGGGGCACACAGAAGAGUGUGGGGUGAUUGCACGGCAGGACCCCGGAGGGCGUGACUGUCAAGGUCCUGAAACGACAGCUUCUGGUUUCUGUGGAUGUUUUAAUCUUUUGUUUUUCCCUGUUUUGCUUCUUGUUUUGCCUGCAUUGGGAGGGGGGGGGGCAGACUUUGCACCUCUGAGGCCCUCUGUCCUGCCUGAUUUGAGAGGUGGGAGCCAGUCUCUGCACCCCUGAGGCCCUCCUGCUCCUCCACACCGGGGCUCCUGGGACACUGCGCUCCUAUGCCUGGCAAGCCUUCCCAUCCUGACUCAGGCACCGGGGAUGACUAAUCAUGACAGAGUGUGGGGAUCAACUCCGGUCCCUCCAGAGCCAAGCGGAACUCCCGGGAGCAUUUCGUAGACAGCUAGUGGUUAAAUUCCUUUUCAACGAAAUGUAUUCUCGCCUUUAUGUCUAACCCUCCGUGGGCUGAAGGCUGUGGAUGAGGCGGCAGAAACCACAUCCUCCUUCAUCCCCACCCGGCAGAACAGAAGUGAACAGCAACAGCAGGAGUCCUGCCACCGACCAGCUCCUUUAGGGAGGAACAGCCCCGAGUGCCCAUGUGGGUUUCACCGCACGUGCGUGACACCAACUUAGUCCUUUAUAGACAAACUCAUGGUCUUCUCAUGACCGGUGUACAUGUUGCCUUUUAACCCACACGCCAAGGCACAGAUGUGCGCGCUAUGUGCACGUGUGUGCGCUCAUGCCUUGAGAAGCCCUUGUCCCUGCAUGCUAAGGUCACACGUGUUCCAUACCCAAGCACACUUUUCAGAAUUAUUUCUGGAAGAAUGUUGAAUCUCAUAACAGCAAUAAAAGGAAAACACUGGCUCAGCC
rnacentral:lncRNA from 1 species